GGAACCAGCCAUGCAAAGAUCUGUGACAAGAACAUUCUAGGGCUAGAAUCUAGGACCACUUUGGACAUUCAAAGCAAAGGAAGGAAGAGGAAGGGGAGCAUGGGGGAGAUGAAACGCAAGGAAGGCAGAGUGUACAAUGUCUAUGUAAGCACAACAAGAAAGCAACUUAACUGCCUGCAGCAUCAGACCAAGUUCCUGGAUCAUAAGUUUGAAAGCAGCUUCUAGAUGACGCUUGUGGAUAUUUGGAAUAAUAUCUACUAAUUUCUGUUAAGCAGCUAUGUUUCAACUCCACUUCAAUAAAAACAGCCAAAUUUCUCUCCUGGAAAUUCUUAAA